ensembl:lncRNA
CAGUUUUCUGGCUUUUAAAAAAAUGUUUUAGUAUGUAAUUGCAAUGGAAUUGCCAGGUCACAGCCUGAACCAAUGGUUGAGCACCAGGUGAGAAGGCUAACCCAGGAGCUCAGGUUCAAGCAAUAUAGCUGAGUGACCAGAACAGGUGAGCCUGGAUCCACUCCUCCUCACCCUCAUUUAAGGAUUAGCAGCUGAGGAAGCAGCUUGUUUCUGGAUGGAUACUGCAUUCUUCUUGAGCUGUCAUUGGAAAGGGCUUUUGAACUGGGAUAUGUGCAAAGAAGAAAUCGCUCUAUUCUGGUGUGGUAAGUCCAGUUAAGUGUUUUGAAGCUUGGACGGCAACUGUUUGCAUUUCCCUGGUGGAAGCCUCCAGAUGAGACGAGUGCUAAGAAGUGAACUUUUUAUGUUCAGCUGGACAAAUUGUCAUUCCUAUCGAGUGCUCGUGCUUGAGCUACAGAAGGCAUUUGACACCACUGGACUUUAAAGCUCUUUCUGAGGAGUAUCACAACCCGGCCUUGAGAGAUCUGCAGUUUUGGAGUGUUUCAGGUUUUUAAGAGGUACUUCGAUUACAUGAGGUAGUGAGUAAGGAUGAAGUGAAGGAGAAGUAACAAAGAAAGGGCUGCAUAUUUUCUGCUUUACAUGGUCGUGAAUGAGAUCUGCUCUGAGCACCAGGAGCAAUGUUGCCAGAGAUCAGCACACCACCCAGGGGAUGCCAAUUGUAGGUGUGCAGAAAUAAUGGUGUGACUCAAGACUGCUUUGACAGGCAAAUCCAUCUGAAGUCUGGGCAUAUCUAUCUAUUGGCUGGAAAAAAAGUUGAACCGUUUGUGUAAGAAAUAACAAUUCACACAAGUUCCUAACAUGAAUGAGCACAUACAAAGUAUGAAAAACUGUUCUACAGCUUCAAGUGUGACAGCUUGUUCAGCAAGGUGCUACAUAGUAUAAUUGCUCUGUAAAGGGAGUAGAUGUUUUGUCUUUGUUUUACUUUUUAUUGGAUGCUCGAGGUGGUUAUGUAGUCUGCAUCUACUACGCAUUAUGUACUGGUUACAUGCCGGUACUGCCCAGUUAUGCCUGACCAACUCCUCUUUGCUGUGGUUGUUUCUCUUCCACUCUCCCCACCUUGAAAGCCUCAGACAUCCAAGCCAGAGCUAUUUCAGUAACUGCAGCUAUGCCACUGAAUUGUAACUUUCAUUUUAUGUUGGGGAACUAAUCUGAGAGAUGCCUAAUGAUCCCAGGAGAAGGAUCUCCCAGCACAGCAUAAUCUAAUGGAUAUUUAGAGUGGCAAUCUAGCAGGGACAACAAAUGAAGCAGUGCUGGAAAUCCAUGGUUGCAACAGCAGCUCAAAUUUAAAACGUUUCUGCUCCCUGUAUCUGCAUUUCACACAGCUAUCAGUAUCAGCUUAUUCUGUAAGCUUAGCUGGCUCUUCUCUUCCUCCUCAAAAUCCCUCCCAGAAGCUCCUUGCUGCAGCCCUGUUUGCCAAUUAGCCUCUGCUUCUGUUGUGUGCAGCUAUGGCUUAGGAAAAAGCAGUACUUUUUUUAUUCCAUCUGUGGAACAAACUGCCUUGUGCUUCUGUUCCACCCAAGGGGAGGAUCUUUGGCCCCCUAAAACUGUUUGGCUUCCUUCCACCCAUGACUGUACCAUGGGUGUAGGUCAAACCUGCCAUGCCAUUCUGUUGUUAGCCUACCAACGCAGGGCAUCUGCAUUCCUACUGACACGUGGUUGAGGAUGUCUGGCAACAUCUUUGCUUCCAAAGCAUGCAACAGACUCAUUACUUUCUCUCCUUCCGGAAAAAUAAAGUCAGGAAAACCUCUUGUUUCACACUGAGCUGUGCAGGAUGUUGGAAGCUCCUUUUGAGCCAUCAUCUCACAGGCUGUAUGGCUGCCUUCUUUCUUCUUAAGAGUAACUGGGGACCCUGAAGUGGAGACUGAGUCUCUCCUUUCAUUUGGUUGUAUUGGGUGAAUUACCUACUUUGGAGCCUCAUGGAAGAGGUGUUGUAAAUGAAAGCAGCUUUUGCAUGUUUUUAUUUUUCUUCCCAGAAAAUCUCUUACCCAUUUCACACCUGGUCAUUUUCAUGUCCAUAACCUGAAAAACAGUCCAAGUAGCACAUAGUGAACUUCAUUAUUAGCAUACGUGGUAAAUCACAGUGCAAGAGUUAGAUUUGGUUUUGCAAUUGGAAUACAUACAUAUCUAUCCAUAGCUUUAUGGUCUGGACAUUAGAGAAGAAUUCAUCCAGAUGGAUGGAGAAGGGAAAUCACUUGUAAAUUGCAAAUGAAAAUGUCUCAGUCUCUAUAGAUUUGGCACAGAAAUAGGAGCAGUGGGAAAAAGCAGCUUAUUCACCCUUUAAGGUGAAAAGAAAGCAUGUUCCCAAAAUAUAUUAAAUCACAGAUCUAGUCAUAUACUCUUCCAUGUUACAUGAUAGAUUCAUUUCUGUUCUUUUAAAACCAUCCUUUUGUGGUCCAUUAGACCAGCUUACCAACUGGGUUGCUGGUAGGUUAAAUUUGUAGUUGUAAUCUCUUGAUGUUAAAACAAUCUUUUUUCUUGAACUUGCAGGCGCAGAGCCAUGUCUUUCAGUAUGCUACUAUUAGUAGGCAAAGAACUAUAAUUUGCAUAUUGGAAAAUGAAGUGGGGAGAUGUUUAACGUUCACCGUUAGUUUUUAAUUAAGAAAUUAAUACGAUGAGCCAAUAAGACCUUUAAUUCUGUGUCUGUACUAGAUACUGAUACCAAUAAAUUCUUUGUAUUUCUUUUUUGUUAAAACUGUGAGCCGUGUCUCUUUCUCACUGCUGUCAAACAGGCAGUCCUGGAUGCACUAAUGCACCUGAAUGACUUUACUUAGGUGAGUGCUUUAUAUUGAUUGGGAUUGGCACUGGGUUAAUUUGGAGGCUCUGGAGCACUCAGUUGAGAGCUCUUAGGAACAGGA